rnacentral:rRNA from 1 species
GACGAACGCUGGCGGCGUGCUUAACACAUGCAAGUCGAACGGAAAGGCCCUGCUUUUGUGGGGUGCUCGAGUGGCGAACGGGUGAGUAACACGUGAGUAACCUGCCCUUGACUUUGGGAUAACUUCAGGAAACUGGGGCUAAUACCGGAUAGGAGCUCCUGCUGCAUGGUGGGGGUUGGAAAGUUUCGGCGGUUGGGGAUGGACUCGCGGCUUAUCAGCUUGUUGGUGGGGUAGUGGCUUACCAAGGCUUUGACGGGUAGCCGGCCUGAGAGGGUGACCGGCCACAUUGGGACGGAGAGACGGCCCAGACUCCUACGGGAGGCAGCAGUGGGGAAUAUUGCACAAGGGGCGGAAGCCUGAUGCAGCAACGCCGCGUGCGGGAUGACGGCCUUCGGGUGGUAAACCGCUUUCGCCUGUGACGAAGCGUGAGGGACGGUAAUGGGUAAAGAAACACCGGCUAACUACGU